AACUAGAAUCGGCUGGGCCGCGCUAUGAAUUCUGGCAUAGGGUGGGCCACGAAGGAUACACCUGACCCAUCCUUCAAAGCUGUGGAAAGUAUUGUAUUGUUUUGAGAGCCUUUUUGUUGGUGGAGUAUUGAUUUUAUGUACAAUUCCAUGGGUAGACGCGAUCUGUACUGUCCGACUUUGCACAUGCGCAGUAAGGAUCGGGGAGUCCGAUCCGUAACUUCUUUUUCUCGUUUUUUUUCCUACAUUAUAUUGAAAUGUUUCAUUAUUGCAAACAUUUUCUCUCAGGCGGAGAGAGGUCGUGGAGUGUCAGCCUAUGGUAUCUGAGGUCCAGGAGAGAUGACCUGCGCUGUUUUCCUCUAUGGAGAUAUCUGAAAAAUUUCAUCGGAUCACAAACAAAGACCUCCUGGGGACCUUCAAUGCAUCCCUUGACAAAUUUGUGCCUGGCCUGCUGAAACUGUACUGGUCUAAGAAGGGAGUUCUUUGUGAGGAGAUGGAAGACCUCCUGGAUAAACUUGAUGAACAGACAUCCAACAUUGUGUCCAACGGGCACUGAGAGGCCUGCCCAUUUUCCUCAAGAGAAGAUGCAACAGAGGUUUUCCCGAAGUGCUUAGACACUGAAGGACAUUUUGGAACCAGUGUUGAACGGUGCAUCAGUUGCCAUCCUCACCAAUCCUACAAGAUGACGAUGCUGAUACGUCUGUGCGAGAACAUGCAGUGGUGUUGGAAGGGGACAUCGUGCUACAUAACAUUCCCGAUCUCUCUACUUCCCUGGCAUACCUCUUUGGCCUUCUGUAUGCCCUCAACAUUGAUUAUCCAAAGCAGAUGAGUUUUACCUUUGAAGCAAUUCAGGCCAUCUUAUUUUGGCCUGGUCGGACAAUAUGAAGGUGAAGUGGAUAAAUCAUUAUUCGAAAUGUAAAUUUUAGUCAGAUGAAUCUGUAUUGUUGAGAAUAUAUGGUGAAAAUUUGUCUUGUAGUAUUUUAAAAGA